rnacentral:rRNA from 1 species
UAAUACAUGCAAGUCGAACGAGUUCUGGUUGAUGAUCGGYGCUUGCACCGAGAUUCAACAUGGAACGAGUGGCGGACGGGUGAGUAACACGUGGGUAACCUGCCCUUAAGUGGGGGAUAACAUUUGGAAACAGAUGCUAAUACCGCAUAGAUCCAAGAACCGCAUGGUUCUUGGCUGAAAGAUGGCGUAAGCUAUCGCUUUUGGAUGGACCCGCGGCGUAUUAGCUAGUUGGUGAGGUAAUGGCUCACCAAGGCGAUGAUACGUAGCCGAACUGAGAGGUUGAUCGGCCACAUUGGGAGUGAGACACGGCCCAAACUCCUACGGAAGGCAGCAGUAGGGAAUCUUCCACAAUGGACGCAAGUCUGAUGGAGCAACGCCGCGUGAGUGAAGAAGGCUUUCGGGUCGUAAAACUCUGUUGUUGGAGAAGAAUGGUGUUGAGAGUAACUGUUCAAGGGUUGACGGUAUCCAACCAGAAAGCCACGGCUAACUACGUGCCAGCAGCCGCGGUAAUACGUAGGUGGCAAGCGUUAUCCGGAUUUAUUGGGCGUAAAGCGAGCGCAGGCGGUUUUUUAAGUCUGAUGUGAAAGCCCUCGGCUUAACCGGGGAAGCGCAUCGGAAACUGGGAGACUUGAGUGCAGAAGAGGACAGUGGAACUCCAUGUGUAGCGGUGAAAUGCGUAGAUAUAUGGAAGAACACCAGUGGCGAAGGCGGCUGUCUGGUCUGUAACUGACGCUGAGGCUCGAAAGCAUGGGUAGCGAACAGGAUUAGAUACCCUGGUAGUCCAUGCCGUAAACGAUGAAUGCUAAGUGUUGGAGGGUUUCCGCCCUUCAGUGCCGCAGCUAACGCAUUAAGCAUUCCGCCUGGGGAGUACGACCGCAAGGUUGAAACUCAAAGGAAUUGACGGGGGCCCGCACAAGCGGUGGAGCAUGUGGUUUAAUUCGAAGCAACGCGAAGAACCUUACCAGGUCUUGACAUCUUUUGAUCACCUGAGAGAUCAGGUUUCCCCUUCGGGGGCAAAAUGACAGGUGGUGCAUGGUUGUCGUC